GAAGCUGGAUUCGCUAGUAAUCGCGCAUCAGCCAUGGCGCGGUGAAUACGUUCCCGGGCCUUGUACACACCGCCCGUCAAGCCAUGGGAGCCGGGAGCGCUUGAAGUGCGUCGCCGCGAGGCGCGCCCUAGAGCGAGACCGGUGACUGGGGCUAAGUCGUAACAAGGUAUC
rnacentral:rRNA from 1 species